rnacentral:rRNA from 1 species
UAAACCGGGAUUAGAUACCCCGCUAUACGGGGGGGGUAACUAAGGGGGGUAGUACCGGCUACGGCCCCCAAACCCAAAGAACUUGGCGGCUGCCCACCCUACUAGAGGAGCCUGCCCCAUAACCGACGCCACCCGUUAGCUCCGGCCCCCAGUAUGUUUGUAUACCGCCGUCUAACCCCUAGCUACGAAGGUGGGGUGGUAAGGUCCCCAUCAAAGACAGGUCGAGGUGCAGCGGAUCUGGGGGAGGAGGUGGGCUACAGUCCCCGUGGGGCGGACCCCCCCCUGCCGGGGGGGGGCAAGAUGGAUUUAGCAGUAUCCGGGGGUUAACAUCCCUCGGAGAAUCGGACCUGGGUCGUGUACAUAUCGCCCGUCACUCUCAUUAAACUUGAGAU